rnacentral:rRNA from 1 species
UCGAGAAUCAUUCACAAUGGACGAAAGUCUGAUGGUGCGACGCCGCGUGGGGGAUGAAGGCCUUAGGGUCGUAAACCCCUGUCGGUUGCGAGUAAGGCCUAGCUUACGCUAGGAUUGAUAUUAGCAACAAAGGAAGGGACGGCUAACUCCGUGCCAGCAGCCGCGGUAAUACGGAGGUCCCAAGCGUUGUUCGGAUUUACUGGGCGUAAAGCGUGCGUAGGCGGCGAAAUAAGUUUGGCGUGAAAUCCCCGGGCCCAACCCGGGAAUUGCGCUGAAAACUAUCUUGCUAGAGGAUUGGAGGGGAGACUGGAAUUCCUGGUGUAGCAGUGAAAUGCGUAGAUAUCAGGAGGAACACCGGUGGCGAAGGCGAGUCUCUGGACAAUUCCUGACGCUGAGGUACGAAGGCUAGGGUAGCGAAGAGG